GACGAACGCUGGCGGCGUGCUUAACACAUGCAAGUCGAACAGAAAGGCCCUGCUUUUGUGGGGUGCUCGAGUGGCGAACGGGUGAGUAACACGUGAGUAACCUGCCCUUGACUUUGGGAUAACUUCAGGAAACUGGGGCUAAUACCGGAUAGGAGCUCCUGCUGCAUGGUGGGGGUUGGAAAGUUUCGGCGGUUGGGGAUGGACUCGCGGCUUAUCAGCUUGUUGGUGGGGUAGUGGCUUACCAAGGCUUUGACGGGUAGCCGGCCUGAGAGGGUGACCGGCCACAUUGGGACUGAGAUACGGCCCAGACUCCUACGGGAGGCAGCAGUGGGGAAUAUUGCACAAUGGGCGGAAGCCUGAUGCAGCAACGCCGCGUGCGGGAUGACGGCCUUCGGGUUGUAAACCGCUUUCGCCUGUGACGAAGCGUGAGUGACGGUAAUGGGUAAAGAAGCACCGGCUAACUACGU
rnacentral:rRNA from 1 species